UGCAAGUCGAGCGAACUGAUUAGAAGCUUGCUUCUAUGACGUUAGCGGCGGAGGGUGAGUAACACGUGGGCAACCUGCCUGUAAGACUGGGAUAACUUCGGGAAACCGAAGCUAAUACCGGAUAGGAUCUUCUCCUUCAUGGGAGAUGAUUGAAAGAUGGUUUCGGCUAUCACUUACAGAUGGGCCCGCGGUGCAUUAGCUAGUUGGUGAGGUAACGGCUCACCAAGGCAACGAUGCAUAGCCGACCUGAGAGGGUGAUCGGCCACACUGGGACUGAGACACGGCCCAGACUCCUACGGGAGGCAGCAGUAGGGAAUCUUCCGCAAUGGACGAAAGUCUGACGGAGCAACGCCGCGUGAGUGAUGAAGGCUUUCGGGUCGUAAAACUCUGUUGUUAGGGAAGAACAAGUACGAGAGUAACUGCUCGUACCUUGACGGUACCUAACCAGAAAGCCACGGCUAACUACGUGCCAGCAGCCGCGGUAAUACGUAGGUGGCAAGCGUUAUCCGGAAUUAUUGGGCGUAAAGCGCGCGCAGGCGGUUUCUUAAGUCUGAUGUGAAAGCCCACGGCUCAACCGUGGAGGGUCAUUGGAAACUGGGGAACUUGAGUGCAGAAGAGAAAAGCGGAAUUCCACGUGUAGCGGUGAAAUGCGUAGAGAUGUGGAGGAACACCAGUGGCGAAGGCGGCUUUUUGGUCUGUAACUGACGCUGAGGCGCGAAAGCGUG
rnacentral:rRNA from 2 species